rnacentral:tRNA from 1 species
GCCGGUGUGGUGGAAUUGGUAGACACAGGGGACUUAAAAUCCCCCGGCCCUUAACAGCCGUGACGGUUCGAGUCCGUCCGCCGGUACCA